UGGGGAAUAUUGGACAAUGGGCGCAAGCCUGAUCCAGCCAUGCCGCGUGAGUGACGAAGGCCUUAGGGUUGUAAAGCUCUUUUGGCGGGGAAGAUAAUGACGGUACCCGCAGAAUAAGCUCCGGCUAACUUCGUGCCAGCAGCCGCGGUAAUACGAAGGGGGCUAGCGUUGUUCGGAAUCACUGGGCGUAAAGCGCACGUAGGCGGAUUUGUUAGUCAGGGGUGAAAUCCCGGGGCUCAACCUCGGAACUGCCUCUGAUACUGCAAAUCUCGAGUCCGAUAGAGGUGAGUGGAAUUCCUAGUGUAGAGGUGAAAUUCGUAGAUAUUAGGAAGAACACCAGUGGCGAAGGCGGCUCACUGGAUCGGUACUGACGCUGAGGUGCGAAAGCGUGGGGAGCAAACAGGAUUAGAUACCCCGGUAGUCCCUGAGCGGGCUGGCAAGGCGCAU
rnacentral:rRNA from 1 species